GAAUAAAUGUAUUUAUUGCCAGGAGGGAGCAGUGGAGCAAUGGAAAGCAAUUAACAAUGCAAUUAGUGGAUAAUUGUGGUAGAAUACACGGCAGGAGCAAGUUCAUCUCUGAGUAUAUUGAAUAAAUGAUGCCUGUGGGAAUAGCUGAACCCUCCUGUCCUUUCACCUGGAUGGUUCCCAUGAAUAAAAGAUUAAUGCUGGAUUAUUAAAUGAGAGUUUUCUACGCUUUUUAAAGAGAAAAUUCAGGGUUUUAUAAGAAAUCCUAUGAGAAAAUUCAGGGUUUUUUAAGAAAUCCUGUGAGAAAAUUCAGGUUUUUAAAGAAAUCCUGUGAGAAAAUUCAGGGUUUUAUAAGAAAUCCUGUGAGAAAAUUCAGGUUUUUUAAGAAAUCCUGUGAGAAAAUUCAGGUUUUUUAAAGAAAUCCUGUGAGAAAAUUCAGGUUUUUUAAGAAAUCCUGUGAGAAAAUUCAGGGUUUUUUAAGAAAUCCUUUGAGAAAAUUCAGGUUUUUAAAGAAAUCCUGUGAGAAAAUUCAGGGUUUUUAAAGAAAUCCGGUGAGAAAAUUCAGGGUUUUUUAAGAAAUCCUGUGAGAAAAUUCAGGUUUUUUAAGAAAUCCUGUGAGAAAAUUCAGGUUUUUUAAGAAAUCCUGUGAGAAAAUUCAGGUUUUU